rnacentral:rRNA from 1 species
CAGCAGCCCGGGAAUACGGAGGGUGCAAGCGUUAAUCGGAAUUACUGGGCGUAAAGCGCACGCAGGCGGUCUGACAAGUCAGAUGUGAAAUCCCCGGGCUUAACCUGGGAACUGCAUUUGAAACUGUCAGGCUGGAGUCUUGUAGAGGGGGGUGGAAUUCCAGGUGUAGCGGUGAAAUGCGUAGAGAUCUGGAGGAAUACCGGUGGCGAAGGCGGCCCCCUGGACAAAGACUGACGCUCAGGUGCGAAAGCGUGGGGAGCAAACAGGAUUAGAUACCCCAGUAGUCCCUGUCUCUUAUACC